rnacentral:lncRNA from 1 species
UUAUCCCUGUUCUGAUAAGAAGAUAUGGCAUUUGCAUCCCCUUCUCUCCUCUUCUGUCCAUGAAUGAACGGCUUCUUCACCCCUGAUGAGGAUCCACCUCCACUCUGGCUCUUAUAGGUCUUCAGGUAAUUCUCCACCCUUUCUCCAGUAGAGACCACAUCAGCAAAGUUGGAAGCAUUAUAACCUACCAGACGCUCCAAGUAAGGUCCGGGCAGAGUGUUCAUGAACAUGUU